rnacentral:rRNA from 1 species
UACGUAGGGGGCAAGCGUUGUCCGGAAUUAUUGGGCGUAAAGCGCGCGCAGGCGGUCCUUUAAGUCUGAUGUGAAAGCCCACGGCUCAACCGUGGAGGGUCAUUGGAAACUGGGAGACUUGAGUGCAGGAGAGAAGAGUGGAAUUCCACGUGUAGCGGUGAAAUGCGUAGAGAUGUGGGGGAACACCAGUGGCGAAGGCGACUCUCUGGCCUGUAACUGACGCUGAGGCGCGAAAGCGUGGGGAGCAAACAGG